UCUAUAUAUGUAUGAUGUUUUCUUUCUCUUUUGAUUCAGAAAAUCAUACGCGGGAAAAGCUGCGAAUGUCCGUCGGUGCUUUCAUUCAUCGCUGAAAAUACGCAGAAGGGGGUGGAGAACGGAGAAAUGGGGGUCGAGAGCGAACGCGACUCAUUCACGUGUUAUGCACGCGACAUUAUCACGUUGUUUCUGCACGUCUCAUCCGCUGCUGUUAUGGACAAUGAUACCUAUCACAUUGUUUUACAUGAGGGAAAUCUCUCCUUAAUGAAAAUGUUUUCUCACUCUUGUUGCAACGAUGGCGGUUACUAUUUUCGUACAACUGGGAGAGCAGAACAUGCCUGGUAGAGGCAGAGAUAAAUAGAAAGGGAGAAAGAGAGAGAAAAGGUGAUAGGAAAGAGAUGGAAAAAAGGGUGAUCGUACUCAUGAAAAAU